rnacentral:rRNA from 1 species
UAGUGGCGAACGGGUGAGUAACNNCUNCGGCAAUCUGCCCUUCACUCUGGGACAAGCCCUGGNNACGGGGUCUAAUCGCGGAUAAUACCUGCCUGGGCAUCUGGGUGGGUUGAAAGCUCCGGCGGUGAAGGAUGAGCCCGCGGCCUAUCAGCUUGUUGGUGAGGUAGUGGCUCACCAAGGCGACGACGGGUAGCCGGCCUGAGAGGGCGACCGGCCACACUGGGACUGAGACACGGCCCAGACUCCUACGGGAGGCAGCAGUGGGGAAUAUUGCACAAUGGGCGAAAGCCUGAUGCAGCGACGCCGCGUGAGGGAUGACGGCCUUCGGGUUGUAAACCUCUUUCAGCAGGGAAGAAGCGAGAGUGACGGUACCUGCAGAAGAAGCGCCGGCUAACUACGUGCCAGCAGCCGCGGUAAUACGUAGGGCGCAAGCGUUGUCCGGAAUUAUUGGGCGUAAAGAGCUCGUAGGCGGCUUGUCACGUCGGGUGUGAAAGCCCGGGGCUUAACCCCGGGUCUGCAUUCGAUACGGGCUAGCUAGAGUGUGGUAGGGGAGAUCGGAAUUCCU